UACAGAGGUCCCAAGCGUUGUUCGGAUUCACUGGGCGUAAAGGGUGCGUAGGCGGUCGGGUAAGUCUGACGUGAAAUCUUUAAGCUCAACUUGGAAACUGCGUCCGAUACUAUUCGGCUAGAGGAAUGGAGGGGAGACUGGAAUACUUGGUGUAGCAGUGAAAUGCGUAGAUAUCAAGUGGAACACCAGUGGCGAAGGCGAGUCUCUGGACAUUUCCUGACGCUGAGGCACGAAAGCCAGGGGAGCAAACGGG
rnacentral:rRNA from 1 species